rnacentral:tRNA from 1 species
UUAUUAAAAGCGAAUUUCGCAUUAAGUUUCGACCUUAAUAAUGAAAAUUAUUUUCUUAAUAAG